rnacentral:rRNA from 1 species
ACGCUCGACACCUACGGGGCAGCAGUGGGGGAUAUUGCACAAUGGGGGAAACCCUGAUGCAGCAACGCCGCGUGUGGGAAGAAGGUUUUCGGAUUGUAAACCACUGUUCUCAGGGACGAUAAUGACGGUACCUGAGGAGAAAGCUCCGGCUAACUACGUGCCAGCAGCCGCGGUAAUCUGAGCGGGCUGGCAAGGC